rnacentral:rRNA from 1 species
UACAGAGGUCCCGAGCGUUGUUCGGAUUCACUGGGCGUAAAGGGUGCGUAGGUGGUGAGGUAAGUCGGAUGUGAAAGCUCGGAGCUCAACUCCGAAAUGGCAUUGGAAACUACCUUGCUCGAGGGUUGGAGGGGGGACUGGAAUUCCUGGUGUAGCGGUGGAAUGCGCAGAUAUCAGGAGGAACACCGGUGGCGAAGGCGGGUCUCUGGGCAGUAACUGACGCUGAGGAGCGAAAGCGUGGGGAGCGAACAGG